CGGGAGGAAACCCAAACAGAGAAGGGGAGAGAGGCGGGGGAAGAGGGGUGGGUGGGGCGGGACGAGAGGGGGGAGACGCCCACACAACACCUCCCCUCCUCCUCGUUCUUGGUGCUCGACGACGACGACGGCGACGACGGUUGCGACGUGUCGGACCCGAGCGGCUAGUAACUAACGCGUAGAUAAUGGAAGGAGAAGACACGAUUUGUUAGGGUAGAUAGGGAAUAUAUAUAGGAGGACCAGGAACGGUUAGCGAGGAGUGAAGAUCUAAAGCCCCUAACGGGGAGGGAUGGCAUCGAAACGAUUCAUCAACGAAGAAGAAGAACCAAAGAAAAGAACUAACGAAACCCAGAGGCUAAAAAACCCAGGAGCCAAAGAACCAGGAGGGGACUUAGAACAUCUCAGACAAGGAAAGCGGCAGCCAUCGGUACCUGCUGUCCUAAGGCGGCGGCAGAGUGGACGUCGUCAUGAGCGUCAGGGGACAGGUAAGAAGCGGAGUAGUGGUGGUGGAGUUAAGGUACUCCAUGAGACGGAGCAGACUAUCUCUUUCCACCCCGAGGACGAAACGAUAGGGACAAGAACAAAGAAGGCCAGCUCAAAAACAAAAAGCAAAAAACUAGGUCUGUGAAGCCUUAGAAGGCACUUCGUGCUCUAAACUACGCCGGCCGCCUCUAAGGACGGACCAAGGCCGGAAGAAGCUCACGACUCUAACACUACCUCCUCACUAGACACCUCUAUCCCUAAAUCUACUAACGAGGAGCAACUAUCUAAAUAAAAAAAACCGGACAACUACAUUUUAAGCAUACAUUAUUAAGCCAGUAAAUAACCAUCUGCACACAUGUUAAAAUGUAGAACGACCUAGAACUACAUAUUUAGAUUAGUUUCAAGAUCAAAAAAUGUAGCAAAACCAAACGGAAGACCAAUAAAAUCUACGAAGUUUAGUACUAACAUGAAAGACAGUAUAGCAUAGUUAGAGAGUACACUUGUUGUCUCAAGCUCACUGGACACAAUAGGAUUACACGAACAAAGAAGCCGUCCAUAGACCGACUCAACGAACGACUCUCCGUCUUCAAUCCGGGUAAGUAAGUUCAAGAAGGGAUGACGUGGUCCGAGAACUUGGUUCUCUAAAACGCCCGUAGAAGAAACGGCGGAUUGGUAUUAAAACAACUACGACUCUCUUAACUCGUACCAUCGGGUAAUUCCAAUGGACCGGUGGGUCACUUACCAGUUGGUUACCUAGACCUCCCUACCAGUCCUUCCGUUCGUCUCGUAUACCCCCAAGACGUUCGUAGUGGUUACUCGACCUUACCACGAGGUCGUGAACCGCCAUGAGGACAACAGUUCUUUGAACACUCCGAUCUACAAGGACACCUGUUCAUAGGAUUGAAGUUGAAACAACCGGCAGAUAACCCCGGUGCUCCUUUGAGGGACUUUUCUCAACUUCGAUGCUGAGUUACGUCUCAAAUAUAAGCACCCGCACCUAGUCAAUUUCUGAGACACUUCCUUCUCUUCGACUCUCUAUUCGGACCUAUACUCGUGGAGUUACUCCGUGACGUGCACGAACACCUUCGUCUCAAGGGUCGUCUGUAAUAACUACACGCAGAUUUGGUCCGACACUGGUAGGACCUUCUAGAAGAGUUUGGUUACCUACUCAGGUACCUGAUGAUGUUCUUCGUCGUCGACUCUCUCGACCGGUAGGACUUGCCGUGAGACUCCCUCCUUUCGGGUUCGGGGGUGGAAUCGGGUUCGCACAGGGGGAAAUUGAGGCGGCCCUACUUCGCAGGCUUUUGCCCCGCCACUAGAUGUUUUUGAACCAGACAGACUUAGACUACUGUUCCCACCUCUACUAACCACAACGUAUACGGCGCUACUACUCACGACCGGAUACGGACAGUACUAGACGCGCGAAAUGGUUGGCAUACUACCCAGGCACCCGCUUACUACUAGGAACCACCCGAACUAACUACAAACUGCGACAAGGAUAAUAAAUAAGAAAGACACGUUAGACUGAAACCUUUUUUAACUGUAACAAAUAACCAAACCCCAUUCAAUUGUUCCGGUCCACCGGUAGGUUCACAGCCUGUUAUUAGUCGGUCCAUAACACACGGACCUUCUUUAUCGACACUAUACUAUAACAGUACACGACCACGAAAACACACGAUCAUCACCAUCAUGAUCUGUCCGUCCGUCUGUCCGAGACAAUUACUAACUAAACGUAAGUAUUAAAGGG
rnacentral:rRNA from 1 species